UUCAAGAAUCAAUACAUGAAAUUUUAAUGAAUUUGAAAGAAAUUGUAUCGAGAAGCAAUUUGUAUGGAACUUGUGACGUGUCUAUUUGUGUCAAGGGUCCUGGAUAUAUAACUGCUCAAGACAUCAUUUUACUGCCUUUUGUAGAAAUAAUUGAUAAUACAUAGCAUAUCACUAGCCUAACAGAACUAAUUGAUUUGUGUAUUGGAUUACAAAUCAAGAGACAUCGCAGCUAUCGUAUAAAAUCAACAAAUAACUUUCAAGAGGGAAGUUAUCCUAUAAAUUGUGUAUUUAUGCCUGUUCGAAAUGUGAAUCAUAGUGUUCGUUCUUAUGGAAAUGGGAAUGAAAAGCAAGACAUACUUUUUCUCGAAAUAUGGACAAAUGGGAGUUUAACUCCUAAAGAAGCACUUCAUAAAGCCUCCCAAAAUUUGUGAUUGAUUUAAUUAUUCCUUUUCUACAUGCAGAAGAAGAAAACUUCCAUUUAGAAAAAAAUCAACAUAAGGUUACUUUACCUCUUUUUACCUUUUAUAAUAAAUUGACUAAAUUAAGAAAAAAUAAAAAUGAAAUAACAUUAAAAUACAUUUUUAUUGACCAAUCAGAAUUGACUCCUAAGAUCUAUAAUUGCUUCAAAAGAUCUAAUAUAUAUAUGAUGUGUGCUACUUGUGUUAGCUACAAUCUAAGGCAAUGUACCUAUCGAUGCAGUCUAGCACUAAUGGCGAGUAUCAAGGUCGUAUUCCUCGGGAAAGUGAAAGCCCAGAGUUACUCCUUUGUUCUUUGUUAUAUUAACCUAAAAUGAGUGAUGAAUAAUUUCUAAACUAACUAAUAGCUACAAGCUAAGUUCUAAGGGAGAUGCAGGAGUAAUUGAUAACUAAAAUAACCAAAACAAGAAAGCAAACCCAAAGGGAACCUAAACUAGUUGGCAAUCAAACAAAAGAUAAAGGAUUGGUGAGUCUAAUUAUGGUACCCGUGGAUGAAUUCUUAACCGAAUUCAGUUUCUCUCUCGAGAUAACUGAAUUCCUAAACCUAAUAACCUAAAGUUGAAAUCUCUUCCUAAUGAUUGAUUCUUAAAUUAGCAUUAAGCUUUAAUCCGCCUCUAUUAAGCUUUGUUAAUUCUUAAUCCGGCUAGUUAAUUAUCCUUAUCUCUAAGCGAUUAUUAACUAGUUCUUGCUAUUCAAAAUUCCAAUUGCCAAAUGGACUUCUCAAUCACACAAAGCAAUCUAAACACACAAUUCACAACGUCUCAUGACUAAUGCAUUAUCUCAUUAAUACUGAAAGUAAGAAGAAUACAAAACUAACCCAAACAAUCCAACAAUAUAAUACUAAGCCAACAUAGUAAAGAAAUCCUAAUGGAUUUAAUCAAUCUAGCUAAUCAUGUUCAUUAUCAAAAUCCACAAGAAUACAAUUACAACAAAGAGUAAAGGUAGAGAAAACCCGAUUACACCCUUGGAUGAGAGUAAACAGCCUCAAUUCCUCUUGCUCGAAUUGAAUCGAUUCUUGUUCCUCUUGCUCGAUUUGAAAACCAAUCAACGAACCUCGCCCAAUCUUCAAUCUUUAAAGGGAAUCCAAUUAAAACCUUGAUCCAAGUCUCCUCUUUCCUUAGUUUCAACUUAGAAAACCCCUAGAGAGAGAAAAAUUAGGGUUUGGGAUGUUCUCCCCCGCUCUCCUAUCUUUUCUCUUGCUCUUUCUUUUAAUUAAUUCGUCCUGUCGCCGCGAACACGGCCGUGUUCCUGGCCGUGUUGGGAACAUGGUUUAGUGUUCCUGGCCGUAUUGGGAACACGGUUUGGUGUUCCUGGCCGUGUUACUCUCUGCGCUCGUGCUCCCUAACGCCUCUUCUUCUUUGAUGUCUUAUGCACCCAAAACGGCCGUGUUGGUGCCUAUGUUGGGAACACAGCCAGUGUUGAAACCAACACGGCCAUGUUCAGCUUCCUCAUACUCGUACUUAGCUUGUUUCGGCAGCUUUGACGUCCAAUUAUGCUCCAAUUCUUCCCUUUAUCAUUCUUGACCUCUUNNNAGCGUCUUUUUUAUGGACGCUUUAUUCUGUCACCACUUAUGAAAGGCCAAGCCGACACAAUAGGCAUUGCGACGCGAAGAGCUUUGCUUGGAGAAAUCGAAGGAACAUGUAUCACACGUGCAAAAUCUGAGAAAAUACCACACGAAUUUUCGACUAUAGCAGGUAUUCAAGAAUCAAUACAUGAAAUUUUAAUGAAUUUGAAAGAAAUUGUAUUGAGAAGCAAUUUGUAUGGAACUUGUGACGCGUCUAUUUGUGUCAAGGGUCCUGGAUAUAUAACUGCUCAAGACAUCAUUUUACCACCUUUUGUAGAAAUCAUUGAUAAUACACAGCAUAUCGCUAGCCUAACGGAACCAAUUGAUUUGUGUAUUGGAUUACAAAUCGAGAGAAAUCGCGGCUAUCGUAUAAAACCGACAAAUAACUUUCACGAGGGAAGUUAUCCUAUAGAUGCUGUAUUUAUGCCUGUUCGAAAUGCGAAUCAUAGUGUUCAUUCUUAUGGAAAUGGGAAUGAAAAGCAAGAGAUACUUUUUCUCGAAAUAUGGACAAAUGGGAGUUUAACUCCUAAAGAAGCACUUCAUGAAGCCUCCCGGAAUUUGAUUGAUUUAUUUAUUCCUUUUCUACAUGCAGAAGAAGAAAACUUCCAUUUAGAAAAAAAUCAACACAAGGUUACUUUACCUCUUUUUACCUUUUAUGAUAGAUUGACUAAAUUAAGAAAAAAUCAAAACGAAAUAACAUUAAAAUACGUUUUUAUUGACCAAUCAGAAUUGACUCCUAAGAUCUAUAAUUGCCUCAAAAGAUCCAAUAUACAUACAUUAUCGGACCUUUUGAAUAAGAGUCAAGAAGAUCUUAUGAAAAUUGAACAUUUUCGUAUAGACGAUGUAAAACAUAUAUUGGGUAUUCUAGAAAUAGAAAAAAUUUCGCAAUUUAAUUUUUUUACCAAAGAAUAAAAUAUAAAUAUGAUAGAUGUUAUCUAGGGAGAAUUCACUUUGAAGCAACUAUUCCCUAGAUACACAUACACAUCAUGAUAUUUUAUUUUACAAUUGAAUCAAUUUAA
rnacentral:lncRNA from 1 species